CCUACGGGAGGCUGCAGUGGGGAAUAUCGGACAAUGGGGGCAACCCUGAUCCAGCCAUGCCGCGUGUGUGAAGAAGGCCCUCGGGUUGUAAAGAACUUUCAGUGAGGAAGAACGCCUGGUGGUGAAUACCCAUCAGGAAAGACAUCACUCACAGAAGAAGCACCGGCUAACUCCGUGCCAGCAGCCGCGGUAAUACGGAGGGUGCGAGCGUUAAUCGGAAUUACUGGGCGUAAAGCGCGCGUAGGUGGCUUGAUAAGCCGGUUGUGAAAGCCCCGGGCUCAACCUGGGAACGGCAUCCGGAACUGUCAAGCUAGAGUGCAGGAGAGGAAGGUAGAAUUCCCGGUGUAGCGGUGAAAUGCGUAGAGAUCGGGAGGAAUACCCGUGGCGAAGGCGGCCUUCUGGACUGACACUGACACUGAGGUGCGAAAGCGUGGGUAGCAAACAGGAUUAGCUACCCUGGUAGUC
rnacentral:rRNA from 1 species